rnacentral:rRNA from 1 species
UUCCUUCGGGAUGAUGUGCUGAGUGGCGGACGGGUGAGUAACGCGUGGGUACCUGCCUUGUACAGGGGGAUAACAGUUGGAAACGGCUGCUAAUACCGCAUAAGAUCGCAUGAUAAAAACUCCGGUGGUAUAAGAUGGACCCGCGUUGGAUUAGCUAGUUGGUGAGGUAACGGCCCACCAAGGCGACGAUCCAUAGCCGACCUGAGAGGGUGACCGGCCACAUUGGGACUGAGACACGGCCCAAACUCCUACGGGAGGCAGCAGUGGGGAAUAUUGCACAAUGGGCGAAAGCCUGAUGCAGCGACGCCGCGUGAGCGAAGAAGUAUUUCGGUAUGUAAAGCUCUAUCAGCAGGGAAGAUAAUGACGGUACCUGACUAAGAAGCACCGGCUAAAUACGUGCCAGCAGCCGCGGUAAUACGUAUGGUGCAAGCGUUAUCCGGAUUUACUGGGUGUAAAGGGAGCGCAGGCGGUGCGGCAAGUCUGAUGUGAAAGCCCGGGGCUCAACCCCGGUACUGCAUUGGAAACUGUCGUACUAGAGUGUCGGAGGGGUAAGCGGAAUU